rnacentral:rRNA from 1 species
UGGGGAAUAUUGCACAAUGGGCGCAAGCCUGAUGCAGCCAUGCCGCGUGUGUGAAGAAGGCCUUCGGGUUGUAAAGCACUUUCAGCGAGGAGGAAGGUGGUGAGCUUAAUACGCUCAUCAAUUGACGUUACUCGCAGAAGAAGCACCGGCUAACUCCGUGCCAGCAGCCGCGGUAAUACGGAGGGUGCAAGCGUUAAUCGGAAUUACUGGGCGUAAAGCGCACGCAGGCGGUUUGUUAAGUCAGAUGUGAAAUCCCCGGGCUCAACCUGGGAACUGCAUUUGAAACUGGCAAGCUAGAGUCUCGUAGAGGGGGGUAGAAUUCCAGGUGUAGCGGUGAAAUGCGUAGAGAUCUGGAGGAAUACCGGUGGCGAAGGCGGCCCCCUGGACGAAGACUGACGCUCAGGUGCGAAAGCGUGGGGCAGCAAACAGGAUUAGAUACCCUGGUAGUCCACGCUGUAAAACGAUGUCGAUUUUGGAGGUUGUGCCCUUGAGGCGUGGCUUCCGGAGCUAACGCGUUAAAUCGACCGCCUGGGGAGUACGGCCGCAAGGUUAAAACUCAAAGGAAUUGACGGGGUCAUAGCUG